rnacentral:rRNA from 1 species
ACUCCUACGGGAGGCAGCAGUGGGGAAUAUUGGACAAUGGGCGAAAGCCUGAUCCAGCCAUGCCGCGUGUGUGAAGAAGGUCUUCGGAUUGUAAAGCACUUUAAGUUGGGAGGAAGGGCAGUAAGCUAAUACCUUKCUGUUUUGACGUUACCGACAGAAUAAGCACCGGCUAAUCUCCCCAGCCGCGGUAAU